GACGAACGCUGGCGGCGUGCUUAACACAUGCAAGUCGAACGAAGAGCGAUGGAAGCUUGCUUCUAUCAAUCUUAGUGGCGAACGGGUGAGUAACGCGUAAUCAACCUGCCCUUCUGAGGGGGACACCAGAUGGAAACGACUGCUAAUACCGCAUACGCCCUCAUCUCGGCAUCGAGGAUAGAUGAAAGGCGGCUUCUACAUGUCAGCUAUCACUGAAGGAGGGGAUUGCGUCUGAUUAGUUAGUUGGAGGGGUAACGGCCCACCAAGGCGAUGAUCAGUAGCCGGUCUGAUAGGAUGGACGGCCACAUUGGGACUGAGACACGGCCCAGACUCCUACAGGAGGCAGCAGUGGGGAAUCUUCCGCAAUGGACGAAAGUCUGACGGAGCAACGCCGCGUGAGUGAUGACGGCCUUCGGGUUGUAAAGCUCUGUUAAUCGGGACGAAAGGCCUUCUUGCGGAUAGUGAGAAGGAUUGACGGUACCGGAUUAGAAAGCCACGGCUAACUACGUG
rnacentral:rRNA from 1 species